GCGCUGCUAAACAUGCAAGUCGAAGCGGACGAGAACGGAGCUUGCUCCCGGAUGUUAGCGGCGGACGGGUGAGUAACACGUGGGUAACCUGCCUGUAAGACUGGGAUAACUCCUGGAAACCGGAGCUAAUACCGGAUAGUUCCUUGAACCGCAGGGUUCAUGGAUGAAAGACGGUUUCGGCUGUCACUUACUGAUGGACCCGCGGCGCAUUAGCUAGUUGGUGGGGUAAUGGCUCACCAGGGCCACUAUGCGUAGCCUACCUGAGAGGGUGAUCGGCCACACUGGGACUGAAACACGGCCCACACCCCCACUGGAGGCAGCAAUAGGGAAUCUUCCGCAGUGGACGAAUGUCUGACCGAGCAACGCCGCGUGAGUGAUGAAGGUUUUCGGAUCGUAUAGCUCUGUUGUUAGGGAAGAACAAGUGCGAGAGUAACUGCUCGCACCUUGACAGUACCUAACCAGAACGCCACGGCAAACUACGUGCCAGCAUCCUCGGUAAUACGUAGGUUGCAAGCGUUGUCCGGAAUUAUGGGGCGUAAAGGGCUCGCAUGCUGUUUCUUAAUUCUGAUGUGAAAGCCCCCGGCUCAACCGGGAAGGGUCAUUGGAAACUGGGAAACUUGAGUGCAGAAGAGGAGAGUGGAAUUCCACGUGUAGCGGUGAAAUGCGUAGAGAUGUGGAGGAACACCAGUGGCGAAGGCGACUCUCUGGUCUGUAACUGACGCUCAGGAGCGAAAGCGUGGGGAGCGAACAGGAUUAGAUACCCUGGUAGUCCACGCCGUAUACGAUGAGUGCUAAGUGUUAGGGGGUUUCCGCCCCUUAGUGCUGCAGCUAACGCAUUAAGCACUCCGCCUGGGGAGUACGGUCGCAAGACUGACACUCAGAGGAAUUGACGGGCGCCCGCACAAGCUGUGGAGCAUGUGGUUUAAUUCGAAGCAACGCGGAGAAUCUUACCAGGUCUUGACUCCUCUGACACCCUAGAGAUGGGGCUUUCCCUUCGGGGACAGAGUGACGGGUGGUGCAGGUUGUCUUCACCUCGUGUCGUGAGAUGUUGGUUAAUCCCGCACCAGCGCACCCUUGAUCUUAUUGCCGCCAUCAUUUGGCCUCUAAGUGACGCCGUUACAACCCGAGAAAGUGGGGAUAACUUCCAUUAUCAGCCCCUAUAACCGGGCACCCCUUGUUCAUGGAGAAAAAAGGGUGCAGACCGCCGGUUAACCACCCCUAAUUUUUCUUUUUU
rnacentral:rRNA from 1 species